rnacentral:SRP_RNA from 1 species
GUGCAGGCCCUGUGCAACAAAACACCGUGAACCAUGUCAGGCGGGGAACCGAGCAGCAUUAAACGGAUCGUUUUGUGUGUGCAGUAAGCCUGUACACC